CCAAAAGAUGUGUUUGACCAGAAGACCGGCCGUCGACAUCAGACAGAUGUACAGCUCAGAUGGGGGGACUAUGACUCUCAUGAGGAUAGGAGAGGUUAUCGUCAAUGUUAUUGCUCCGAACCGAGCCACUGUUGGGACACCCAAUGUGGUAAGAAGCCAAAUGAACUUUGAAGGGCAGUCACUAAUAAUAGGAGGGAAAUUAGCAGUCUUCUCACCCGAAAUCAGUUCGCCGAUUAUAUCGGUCGACCGACGCGAGAUUGACAUGAUCGAUAUUCUCGAUCUGGAUCGGUAAAUUAGUCUGGUUCUCUCACUAUCAUCAAAUAUGGCCAUCAUAGCUUUCCGAUCACCAGGGUCGUAAACUUUCAGUCGAUGAAUAAAGUAAACAGUCGGAAAAAGAUCAAAAGCAGCUGCCAUGGCCGGGAUCGUUACCGGAGCGGCUAGAACAGGAAAGUGAAAAGCAGGAGGAGAAAAUGAAAUGCAGAAGGAUUUCCCGUUGAAGAUAUAUAUAGAGAAGGUCUGAGCAUUUAUUGCUAGCAGAAAACAUAGCGGACGCCUCGGAAACUGAAGGAAUAAAUGCCUUAACUGAAUAAGCUCGGACAAAGGAGAAGACUCUGGAGCGGGAAAGAUCGGAGAGGGGCCCGGCAUGAGAGAUUAGAAAAGGAUCGUAUUAGAAAGAUCGGAAGGGAGGGGAGAUCGGAAAGCAAAGGGAAUAAGACAACUUCCAAUAACUGUUGUCAUAAUCAGAACCGAGGUAGUUAAAGCGUUGCAGAUGAAAUCUCUACCGCACGCCCCAGAAUCGCCCGCAUUACUGACAUGUGCCAGAGUACGUCAGGACAGCGCCGUACAUCCUAAUCUCCACUGUUGAUCUUACUUGUAAGGACGAGCUCGGAGCCCUCGGAUCGAAGAAGAAAACGACAAGAUCAGUGCCUUUCACUCCUAGCCCUCAGAUCGCUCUUGACAAGAAAUUUUGGGCCGUCAGAUUAGAAGAGAGAAAAGGACAAAUACUCCGGAAGGGAUCUCAGUCGUCGGUUCUGAUUCUCUUUAAUUCCCGAGCCCUUAGAUCAUGUCCUUCAAAAUCUUAACCCUCCAUCUCCCUCAAAACAGAUCCUGACCCUCCAUGGGGAGCACCCGGUUCCUAUA
rnacentral:misc_RNA from 1 species